rnacentral:rRNA from 1 species
CAGUAGCCGCGGGAAUACGUAGGUGGCAAGCGUUGUCCGGAAUUAUUGGGCGUAAAGGGCUCGCAGGCGGUUUCUCAAGUCUGAUGUGAAAGCCCCCGGCUCAACCGGGGAGGGUCAUUGGAAACUGGGAAACUUGAGUGCAGAAGAGGAGAGUGGAAUUCCACGUGUAGCGGUGAAAUGCGUAGAGAUGUGGAGGAACACCAGUGGCGAAAGCGAGUCCCUGGACCCUUUCUGACGCUGAGACGCGAAAGCCAGGGGAGCGAACGGGAUUAGAUACCCCCGUAGUCCCUGUCUCUUAUAC